AACGAACGCUGGCGGCAGGCCUAAAACAUGCAAGUCGAACGAACCUUCGGGUUAGUGGCGCACGGGUGCGUAACGCGUGGGAAUGUGCCUCUGGGUGCGGAACAACGUCGGGAAACUGACGCUAAUACCGCAUAAUAUCUACGGAUCAAAAGAUUUAUCGCCCAGAGAUCAGCCCGCGUCUGAUUAGCUAGUUGGUGAGGUAAUGGCUCACCAAGGCGACGAUCAGUAGCUGGUCUGAGAGGAUGAUCGGCCACAUUGGGACUGAGACACGGCCCAAACUCCUACGGGAGGCAGCAGUAGGGAAUCUUCCGCAAUGGACGAAAGUCUGACGGAGCAACGCCGCGUGAGUGAAGAAGGUUUUCGGAUCGUAAAACUCUGUUGUCAGAGAAGAACAAGUUGGAGAGUAACUGCUCCAGCCUUGACGGUAUCUGACCAGAAAGCCACGGCUAACUACGUG
rnacentral:rRNA from 1 species